UCGUAACAAGGUUUCCGUAGGUGAACCUGCGGAAGGAUCAUUACAGUGUUCUGGAGGCCGGUCCGUCCCGCUCCCCUUCGGGGGCCCGGUGGGGUCCGCGCCCCCUCCACACGUGUCUACCACACCCUGUUGCCUUGGUGGGUCUGCCCCUGUGGCUGCCGGGGAUCGCCGCUGGCGUCCCGGGCCCGUAUCCACCGAUGGACACCCUGAACCCUCUGUGAAUCUAGUAUGUCUGAGCGUUAAAGCAAAUGAAACAAAACUUUCAACAAUGGAUCUCUUGGUUCUGGCAUCGAUGAAGAACGCAGCGAAAUGCGAUAAGUAAUGUGAAUUGCAGAAUUCCGUGAAUCAUCGAAUCUUUGAACGCACAUUGCGCCCUCUGGUAUUCCGGGGGGCAUGCCUGUUCGAGCGUCAUUGCAACCCCUCAAGCCCGGCUUGUGUGAUGGGCCAUCGUCCCCCUGUGGACGGGCCCGAAAUGCAGUGGCAGCACCGCACCGGUGUCUGAGUGUAUGGGCAUCUGUCACCGCUCAAUGGACCCGGUCGGCGCUCGCCGUGACCAAAACAUAUUCAUCCGUUUUGACCUCGGAUCAGGUAGGAAUACCCGCUGAACUUAAGCAUAUCAAUAA
rnacentral:misc_RNA from 1 species